rnacentral:tRNA from 1 species
GAAAUAAAUUUAAAAUGAACUUCUAAUUCAUUAUUUAUGGUCAUACAAUCAUAUUAUUUCU